GAAAAAAAAAUAAAAAAAUUGCAGAAUGAGAGUUUGAAAUGUUAGAUUAAAUUUUGUGAGAUGAACUGAAUUGUCAUUGGGAAAGAAAAGUAUCAUGGUGAGAAACUCUGUACAGUUUAAACUUAUAGAUGCUUCUUGCUUGCUCUUACUUUUUCUUUAAAUACCAUCACGACAAGGCCUUAAUGGCAUAGUUUUGUUAUGGGACAAUGAUUAAAGUUUGUUUGUGAAGAAUGGAAGAAAGAAUUAUGCAGCUAGCAAUGAGAAUAUAUUGGAAAAUAUUAACAAGAGUUAUGAUAUUUUUAUCUAAGCAAUUAAAGAUUUUACAUGGAAGAGUGUUGUUUGCGUUGAAAUAUCAAUAUGGAAUCUCAUCUUCCUAAAUAGCAUGUCAGCAUCGCAGAAUAAGGUAAGCGGUUGGUGUCAGGAAGAGUUUAAAAGUACAGGAGGAGAGCAUAUGGAGUUUGAGAUGUUUUAGGUCUCGAACUACUUUGAUGCUGUAAUAAAAAGGUGUUUGAUUUUCAUUUUAAAAAUGAGAUUUCAUAUCCUUGUUUUUAUUUUUAUCUAAUAUAUAUGUAAUAGAUAGUGUACAUGUAACUUCAAAAAUUGGCGGCGAGUUAAAGAUUAUGACAUAUUAAUACUGAAUUAUUGUCCUAAGAUUAUGCAAAGAGGCUGAGAAUUGCAGAGAGGCAUUGUUCUUAUGAGGGGCUGUGAGCAUUUUUCAUGCAGGAUUUGCCAUUGGUUCCGGUUUGGACAUGAAUUGAGGCUUUUCGAAUGGCUUCUCUGCAAUUUUUUUAUUUUUUAUUUUUAAACAUAUUGAAAAGCUAAUAGAUUUUCAAUUACUGAAAAAUUUAACACUAUACAUAACAUGGUUUGAAAUUGGGUGGAAAAUAUUUCCAUUGAGAAGGUUUUUAUAUCUUCUUUCUCUAGUUCAAUGGAUAAACUAACAUAUUAAUUAUGAGUUUUAAGAACCUUUUUUUAACUGUUUCUUGUUAAAUAUAAGGACUUUGUAAUGUGACUAGGAUUGAUCACUUAAAUUGGUGACAUUGAUUUUCCACCAGAAAAUGGAGAUCUGGAUUGGAUCUCAAUUUUGAAGGAUGUGAAUCCAAGUAAUAGAAACUUGCAAGUAACUUUAUUUCCCUAAAAUGUCCUUUCUUUGUGAUUUUCUCUUCUAAAGUGUCUUCAGUUAUUCCACUUCAUACAGUCCCCAAAACAAAAACAAAAAUAAAAAAUAAAAACCAUUUCUGCUAAAAUAUGAAAAAGUAAGAUCAAGGCUAUUUUGAUAAUCACCUAAGAACAAUAACCCAUCUCUACAAAAUUCAAAAAGUUAUUUCAAAAACAUGCUUUCCAGUGAAGUCUUGUGAUUUCAUGGUCUCAGCUUCACAAAAUGAGGUGUGAACCCCGAAAUAUUUAGGAAUUGAUUGGGGUUCUUGAAGUGAUGUACUAAUCAUUUGACUGUUACGAUCUUUCUAUUUAUGGAUCCAUAUCUCUUUGUUAUGGGGCCAAGACUAUGAGAUUAUCUCUCUAUCAACAGAUUAUUGUGAUUCAAUAUUUGACCUAAAUACGCAAAUGUAGGUAGAAGGAGUAACUACACUAAUUCACUCAACACAAGUGUCAUGGGAUAACACUCUGGACCAUGCAUCAUAUUUCAGAGUUGGCAAGAUUGUGGAGGCAAAAGUUCACCUAGUGCUGAGGCCCUUGCCACUAACAAGGUUUGGAGAGUUUAACCGUCUGGAGAGUUUAACCUUCUGUACACCCCGGAAAAAUGAAUGCCCAAAAACAUGAAUACAUGAAUCUGUCAGUCUGUAGGUGAUGGGGGUUCCCAGCAUCUAUGGCGAUGCAAGUUUUCCAUGCCCUUAGAAGUGAUAGGUUCGAGUAAGCCAGUAAGCAGCACUGGUAUAGAACUUUCUGAAUUUAUCUUUUUGUAUCCAGAUAAAAUUUUCUGAUACUCUUUUAUUUUAUUUUAUCCAUAAUUUUUGUGAUCAGUAAAGUUAUUAGAAAAAAACAAAGGGGGCAGAGCAUAAGCAUUUGUGACACAUAUGAGUAAACAUAAAAAGCUAUAAACCCUUGAUAAAACAACAUAAUCCUAAUUCUCCACAAUAUUGAAGUCUUAGGAAAUAAGUUUAACCUUCCAGUCCUCAAAAAAAAAAAAGAAAAAGAAGAAGC